AGAAAUCCGCAAAACCAAAUCCUUUCAACCAUCGCGAAGAACAAACCCAGAUUGACACUCCAAAAACCAGAACUCCACACUCCCAAACAAGAAAUCUCAUCCAACGAAACCCAACCUCACAUCCAGAAACCCGGAAAUCGAACUAUCCAUAAUCGAUCCCCAUAUUUUCAUAUUUCGACCUCGAAGUCGGGCUUGUCUCCCUUCUUGGAAUCCAUAAGAAUUUAUUUUUGCCUUCGAGAAAGG
rnacentral:lncRNA from 1 species